GCCCAAGAUGCGGAUAGCUCAGCUGGUAGAGCAUGAGACUCUUAAUCUCAAGGUUGUGAGUUUGAGACCCACAUUGGGCA